GGUCUGGAAUUGAACAUCCACGGGUCUGAGGCUGUGAAGGUCCAGGUGGAUGAAUGCUGGUUUGUUUCUGGGCACGCCUAAGUAUCUGUGUGAGUGGUUGUCUGAGUGUGUGUUCACUGCGCAUUGGUGUGUGAAUUUCCGUGGGUGCAUCUGUGUGCUUCCAUGUACCUUGCAAUCCUGCAUAUUCUCUGAUCCUUUGUUGCCUCUCCAAGCCUGUCUAUCUGGGCAGGUGAGUGAUUGCUGUCGAUGGGGAAUGUUCCAAUAGGAACAGUGUGAAAGAAAUCAUUUCACACUCCCCACAGAGCAGACCGUGUGCUCCGUUCUUGGCGAGUGAGUGGUUGCUGAGUUACUGAAGGUCGGCACCUUUCCUCUUCAGCUAGGAGGCACCCAUGGGUUGCUGGCUAUUUUAAACUCAAGCUUCUCUUACUUUCUGUGAUCCCUCUGAGGUUGGGAGUGCAGGGCUGGGCAAGCCCCCAUCUUUCUCUAGGAUUUACAGAGCCAGGGAGAUUGUGGGGCAGCCGGUGUGGGGAGGGCUGCUUGUGCCUAUCUCCUGAAGAAGAGACCAGGCGCCAUGCAAGAUCUGAGGCUGAGAGCAGCUUCUCAUUGCUGUGGCUCUGCUGGCUUUAGGGCCAUUUAUAACAGCAGAUGAAAGUGAAAGCUUUAUAGGAAAGUGUUUAUUUGAAAAGAGCUGGCUGAGAGGAAGUGAGGAGUGAACAAGUUCAUGCGAGAUAAGUCUGGGCCGGGAGGACUCCAGCAGAGUUAAGAGAGCCAGGGCAGGCAGGUCAGAGCCCGCAUCUCAGGCCCAUAUUUUCUCCGGGGCCUCCUGGUCCUGGCUUCAUCCUUAGAUGAGGCCAGUACAGACUGUUCUGUAUUCCUUUUCUCCCCCCCCCGCCCCCCGACCCCCCACCAAUCAUUUUAUCAACCUCCGUGCGUCCUUCAAGGCCACUCUGACAACCAAGCAUGUCACCAUCAUGCUUGUAAUGAUGCCUGGUAAACACAAGACAAAAAAGGCUUUGACCCAUGGACAACACAGCUCUGGUCUUGGCUUUCCCCGCUAGUCCCUGUGGGAGUGGGGGUGAAGCCCUCACCAGAUGGUGCCUCUUCUCCGUUCUGCGUCAGCCGCAGAGCAGCGACUGGAACUCGAGUGUCCCGAUACCCCGUUGAGUGUCGCUCCCAUCACACAAAGAGUUUUGGAUGACUUUGGGGGUGUCGGGUGACUUUUAUUUUAUUUAAAACCAGAAAAUCGCUUCCACUUGCGGGACCGUACGAGUGAAGUGGCAACUCCUGUAACGAGAGUUAGGAAAAGAGCAUGUGGCAGUGGAAUAGAAGACUUUCAUCUGGAAGGAAUGUGCCUGCCUUUGAAGAGGCAGUUGCAGGAAGGUUUGAUGUAGGCCAGAUAUGGAGAGUUCUGAGAAUGAGUGGCAGCGUGGCCAACUUCAACAGUCAGUUCAGUUCAGUUCAACCGCCCUUUACUCAAGACCGAGCAUAGGUCAGGGGCUGGGAAGGGGCCAGGCACACAGAGAAGGCUAAGACUCGGCUCUGCCUUCAAGGAGUUCACAUGCUGGUGGGGGAGCCAGGACGUAAAGAAUUUUCCCAACUACAGUGUGUGGUGAAAUUUCAGAUGUCAGUAUGUGAGGGUUGCUAAGGGAACAUGGAAAAGGAGAUAUACUCCAUCUGCUCAGCCUCGGAGGAUACACAGAUGCAAGUGUGGCAUACAGUGUAUGGGAUGCUACAGACCUUUGGUUUUGCUGGAGCUUGGUAUGCAAGGUGGGGAGUGAAAGGAGGAAAAUCGAAGUUUUCUAAGAACAGAUGAUGUGGUUUAUUGGAGGCUUUGAUAAAAUGCUUGAAAAUGGGAAUCAAAGUUUUGAGCAGGCUGGUGAAUGGAUCAGAUUUGUGUUGGAUAUCUCCCUCUAAGACCACAUGCAUGGAAGGUUUAGGACAACAAGAUCAAAGGGGGAAAAUCAAUGCGAAGAAAAUCUUCAGGUAAAAGAUGGUGGUGUUAUCAUUUGAGGUGAGGAAUGUUGAGCAUGAGGAAUCAGGAAUCAGGAAUCAGAGAGGAUGAUGAAGUCCGAACAUGUGUCUGAGGUCCUUUGGGUGCAUCCAAAUGAAGAUUUCAGGUGACCAAUAAGAUAUGACAUUUAAGAAAGAAUCAAAAACUGGACUUAGAGAUCUGGAAACAUGCAGCCACAUAGGAGGAUACAGUCACCCAGGGAGGGUAUACAGCAUAUGAAGAGCAGUAGGUUGAAAAGAAAAUUCUAGGAAACCCAAACCUUUAAGGGGAGUUGGAGGAAGAGGAUUCCAUAUACAUGCCUGGGCAGGAAAGGUGGAGGGCGGCAGAAAAAACCUGGGAGGUGUGUUGAUGUGGGUGCUCACACAAGGGCUGGGGUGGAGGAAUGGGGUGUUAGAUAAAAAGGAACUGUUAUUAGUGCCAGAAGUUUACAGGAGUUGAAGUUAAGAACUGACAUAGAUGGAGUGGUGGCAAUGGAGGUCUGACUGGAGGAGGCUGAGGGAGGAAUGGGCAGACUGAGUUAGACCCCACUUGUAGGAAUUCCCAUAAGAAGAAGUCUUACUAGAAGGAACACCAGUUAAAACUUGAGUUUUUCCUUAAGGGUAGGGGAAUGACUAAGACACAUCUAUUUACCAAAUGAGUAAAAAGGCCCAGUAGGAAGGCUGAAGGUAUAGGAAACCGUAGUUGAUGGAUGGAGGUCCUGGAGGAUCAGAGGAUGGACAGAGAGGACGUUUGUUCUUGGACAGGAAGGGGGCUGGAGGAAAGGAGGCAGUUCUCUCUGUGGUUCUCAGUUAAUAGGUUACAGGAGCUAGAGGUUGAGGGCAUUUACACCUGGGAUCUCCAUUUUCCUAAAGAAACAGGAGACAAAGUUUUAUGCUGGGCAUGUUCAAGGAUUGUGGAAGUAGCUUGAGAAAAAUUAGGAAUAUGUGGAUUGAAAAUUAGGGGAAAUGAGUGUGAGGCAUGGCUGGUGGCAUUGAGAAUCCAGCGAGAACACCCAUGUUUAAUUGGCAGGGAUGGAAGCUUCUCAGAAUUAGAAGAUUUUAUUUAGCACUACUCCAUUUCCUAGGUAUCAGAUUUUAGAAGAUGGGUUGUAACAUUGAACCAGAAUUGGGGUUUUGAUGGACAAGAGUGGGGGAAUGAGAGUAAUAAUGAUACCUAAUGUUUACUUAGUGCAUCCUCCGCUCCAGACACAAAGAUCUAUGCUCUUUACGUGUAUUGUCUUUUAAAAUUUCUUAACAACUCUUGGAGGUCUAGUUAAUAUUAAGUCCACUUAACAGAUGAGGAAACUAAGUGUAAAUAAAAUUAGCCCAAAUUCACAUAUGUAGAACAUGCUAGAAAUAAGAUUCAAAACUGGAUUCAGGCAGUCCCACUCAUUCCAGAGGCAGAAAAUGAUUCAGAUAGUCAAUGAUUCAGAUAGUCAAUGAAUUUGAAAGAGAAUGAGGCUAAAAACUGACGGGUAGGUUGGAAGAAAAUUAAGGAUCUCAAGGACUGCUUCAAACACUCCCAGGUGUAUGGAAGGAUGGGCUGGAAGGAGAGCUGGUUGUGUUGAUAGUACAGACAAUUGGUGUGACUAUGGGAAUGGAGCUCAGGUACAGGUUUCUGGGGUUGAGAAGGCCAAGCAACCAAAUGCUAGUGUUUUGGAUUUGGUUGAGGAUGUUGAAAUAUCUCAAAACGGUGGAGCUGAAGGCAAUCCAUUAAUAACUGGCUCCACAAUGGAGGAGGUUGACUAUGCUUGAUAUCUGCACCAUGGAUUGGACUUUGUUUUUUAACCAUGGCCACUUUCUCUGCUAUUCCUGGUUCUCAGAAACUGUCCAUUCCUAAUGGCGCAUUUCCUCCAAAGGGGACUUUCCUAGGCACACUUUCCUCCUCACAGGGGGCAGGACUGGAAUUCCAUGUGAGGACCCAGGUGACUUGUGUGUGUGUGUGUGUGUGUGUGAUUUGUUGAUGACAACUGCCCUAAAGAAUGAAAACAGUGUCUAGGUGUGCAGGGAUCGCUAGUCUAUUCCUGACAGAGAAAAAGGCCUCUGGGUUGGUCUGGGGAAGACAUAGCAGGAGGGGACGCUGUCUGCCUCACAGUCAGGCUGGGGAGGGGACUGCACGGGACAGAGCACAGCUAGCAGUGCCAGGAGGAUGGGAGGAGCUCAGGCCACCCCACCUGAGCCAACCUGGCCAAAGAAGUAGCCUGGAAAUAGAAGUAGAAAAGAAUUAUGGGAUUCUCUGACAGUCCCUAUGUCCAUGAGGGACUUUUUAGAUUGUUUUUAUGACUUUUAUGGAGCCACUAUUCCCAUGGUUUAUUCCCAAAGCAGUGUUGUGGUUCAAAGGACACAGCAUACACAGCCCAAAGUAAUUUCAAAACAAUUUAUGUUCUUUUCUUGUACAUCUGCAGACCCAUGAAGUGAAAGCAUGGCCUCCACCAAUACUUCUUAAAUUCUCCUUUUCUUCUCCCUCACAUUGCCUCCCUCACAGCAGCUGUUCCCCAGGGCUUGGGUCUCAAAGUCCCCUGAACACAGCCAUGGGCUCUCACCUCUGGGCCUGUCAUUCAUCCUCAGCCUCUGUCCCUUCCUCUCCACUCUCCAACACAGAAGCCCUGGCAGUGACACGGUGAGGUUGGGGACCCAGGGGGUGGGGAGGGGAGAGACUGCAUCAGGCCAGGCUAGAAUGCUGCUCAGCAAGCAUGGGCUGGCGACUAGGGCAAAGCCAUCUUGUAUUAAUAAAGUUAAUAUGUUUUAUUCCUACCACCAAUAUAAUGGCCUCCUCAAGGAGAUGUCAGUCAUCACUAAGCCCCUUAUCUGCUCCUUCUGCUCACAUUCUCAUGCCUCUCCUGCCAGCUCUGCCUUCUUUUACUCUGAGUGUGUGUUAGCAUUUGGGGCGCCUGCAGGUGCCUGGCUGAGUUCACUCAGACCCUGUUACCAACCUCAGGACCAGGGAGGGAGCAACCUCAUGAACUGAGAUGAAGCAUUUAACCCCCUUCCCUUUGUAAGACCAAGAGCUUUGACAUGAGGAGUUCAAGGAGCUCUGAGAACAAGAAGCCACUUGACCCUCUGGCUGUCACUCCAAAGCAAGGGUGGACUCUUCUCACCUCCAGAAUCCAUUCACACCUGCUCUGUGACAGACCAGGGGGCAAGUGCCUGACACCUGUAGGAUUUUAGCACGGGGCUCGUCUUCUGCCUUGGAAGCAUAGUAAGGGCCAAGUCUUCAACCAGCAUUAGCUGAGGACCAGUUUAUCUCCAUCCGCUGGAACUAUGCCCAGACAAGCUCCAUUUCUGAGGUGUGAAACCCCAGAGACCUCGUUUUUGGCUUCUCCAGCCUGAGGUGCUGCCUGAGGUACUCUUUCCUGCUGUGGGUCCAAUCCCUCCCCUUUUUCUUCUGUCCUAAUCUGAUCUUCCCAUAGUGAGGAUGGGGUGGCUCCUAGGAAUCCAAUGCUGCAUGUUAAUUUCUAACUAUUCAUAACCCCCUUAUUUCCCUUUCCCCUCAGUAUGUUUAGAUGCUUCUGAGUCUUCAAGACCCAUUUUCCAGCUUCUAUUAAUGAUCACCUUUCAGAAUAUGGAGGCAGACAUUUUUACUCAAGUAUCUGCUACAGGGACCUUGGACCUGUAAAUAAUUAUCUUUAGGAGCUCCUGUUGUGGCUCAGCAUGUUAAGAACCUGACAUAGUGUCUAUGAUGAUGUGGGUUCAAUCCCUGGCCUUGCUCAGUGGGUUAAGGAGCUGAUGUUGCUGUGGCUGUGGCCCCGGCUGCAGCUCCAAUUCGACCCCUAGCCUAGGAACUUCCAUAUG
rnacentral:lncRNA from 1 species